rnacentral:rRNA from 1 species
AGCAGCCGCGGUAAAUUCCAGCUCCAAUAGCGUAUAUUAAAGUUGUUGCAGUUAAAAAGCUCGUAGUUGAAUUUCGGGAUCAAUACGUCGGUCGUGCUUUUUUGGUACGCACUGGCGUCAUUGGUUUCUCCUUUCUGACGAACCAUGAUGUCAUUAAUUUGGUGUUAUGGGGAGUUAGGACUGUUACUUUGAAAAAAUUAGAGUGUUUAAAGCAGGCAUUAGCUUGAAUACAUUAGCAUGGAAUAAUGAAAUAGGACGUUCGAUCCUAUUUUGUUGGUUUCUAGGAUCAACGUAAUGAUUAAUAGGGAUAGUUGGGGGCAUUAGUAUUCAAUUGUCAGAGGUGAAAUUCUUGGAUUUAUUGAAGACUAACUACUGCGAAAGCAUUUGCCAAGGAUGUUUU